rnacentral:rRNA from 2 species
GACGAACUGUGCGAACGUUAUUCGGAAUCACUGGGCUUACAGGGUGCGUAGGCGGCCACGUAAGUAGGGUGUGAAAUCCCCCGGCCCAACCGGGGAACUGCGCUCUAAACUACAUGGCUUGAGUGAGCUAGGGGUCCACGGAACUUCCAGUGGAGCGGUGAAAUGUGUUGAUAUUGGAAGGAACACCGGAGGCGAAAGCGGUGGACUGGGGCUUAACUGACGCUGAGGCACGAAAGCCAGGGGAGCGAACGGG